AGUGAACGCUGGCGGUAGGCCUAACACAUGCAAGUCGAACGGCAGCACAGAGGAGCUUGCUCCUUGGGUGGCGAGUGGCGGACGGGUGAGGAAUACAUCGGAAUCUACUCUGUCGUGGGGGAUAACGUAGGGAAACUUACGCUAAUACCGCAUACGACCUACGGGUGAAAGCAGGGGACCUUCGGGCCUUGCGCGAUUGAAUGAGCCGAUGUCGGAUUAGCUAGUUGGCGGGGUAAAGGCCCACCAAGGCGACGAUCCGUAGCUGGUCUGGGAGGAUGCUCAGCCACACUGGAACUGAGACACGGUCCAGACUCCUACGGGAGGCAGCAGUGGGGAAUAUUGGACAAUGGGCGCAAGCUGAUCCAGCCAUACCGCGUGGGUGAAGAAGGACUUCGGGUUGUAAAGCCCUUUUGUUGGGAAAGAAAUCCAGCUGGCUAAUACCCGGUUGGGAUGACGGUACCCAAAGAAUAAGCACCGGCUAACUUCGUGCCAGCAGCCGCAGCAG
rnacentral:rRNA from 1 species